rnacentral:lncRNA from 1 species
ACCAGACAUGAGCACUCCACUCCACGUAGCCAGGAGAUCUCUAGCCUUCCUCUCAUCCACCAACCGUUUCAGCUCACCCCUGGUUGAGGUCGUUCUCCGUGUUGUCCAGCCACAGGCGAACGGCGACUGCGUUGCCCUCCCGGCACUGAGUGAAAAUGUCGUCCAUAGCAGCGUCCCGGCGCCGAGUCCCCUGGAUUGGGGAAGCCUGAGGACUGUGGAGUGAUCCAGGGAAGGAGGAUGAACCCCAAGCUUUAUCCUCUACAGGAGAGAAGUGUUUGUGUUGGGGGUAGGGGGCCUGAGCUGCGUCCCCGGCUAGUGGGGGUCUGUGAAGGAGUUCGGGGCUGCGGGAUGAUCCCUGGCUGUGUCCUCUAGACGCGAGCCGCGCCUGGCUAAACUCGAUGGUUCGCUGCGCCGCG